rnacentral:lncRNA from 1 species
GCUUUUUCUUUGCUUUUAAAUAUUUGAUGUGAAGGUAUGAUUAGCCUUAGCUAAAGGAUAAUUUAAAUAUUCCCAGUCUUACUUGCCUGUCACAGAUAGAAUAGUGUAAAAAUGUGCAGACUGAAAAAUCAUAUUGUCAACAUCACUCUAGUUUUAUCAGCAAUGCUUUAUUUAAAAUCUUUAAAUAACAAUAUUGCAAAGUCAGUUUUUCCACAAUUUUUAGGGCCUCCUUUAAAACACACUAUUUUUUUUAAUGGUGAUAUUUGAUCAAGGUGGGUUGAGGUCCUAUUUGAGGGAAGUCUUUAAGAGCAGUAUUAAGUGCAGGGAAUGGUUUCGCUCUAUAAAAUAUUUACUGAGUCAAGAGUGAGGAUAAUCUAACUAUUGAUCCUUGAUUACCAUAAACAAUUUGAGGACCUGUUAAACUUCAAAACCAGGGAGUGUAACUUAGUUUGCAGUCAAGUAAAUAUGGUUUUCUUUCUUCUAAUCUUUAAAGAGUUCAGAAAAUAGGAAUAAAAAUGGGCUUUCCUGUUUUUAAUUCAAUGAUAGCUUUUGGUUACCACACUUGGAAGCAACAUGAGUGCUAAUUCCUUGCUGAGGGCUGCAGGGUUUGUCAGGAAGCACUGAAGUCAUGACAGGGGGGGUAUUUGGAGAAGGAUAUGACAAUAUUUGAUUUAUUAGUGCUGGUAAAAGGAAAAGGAAACAUUUAGAAUCAAGUUAUUGUGAUACUUAAGAGAAAAUAAGUUCUAAUAAACAUGACAAGUUUCUAGGAAAUAUUGUGCAUUCUGGAAAUUGUUUUGUUUCAGGCUUAUAAAAUUUUGAGGGUUACUUUAAAAGCUUCUUGAUCAAAUUACUAGUUUUUCAACCAUACUAUGCUGACUAAACAUCCCCUUUUCUAUGUUCUUAGGCAUAUUUUCAAAUUCUUUAAUAAAAAAAGCAUUGAGUCAGCUAUGAAAUCUGUGUUACCAGAUGUUGGCAUACAGAGAAUUAUACUGAUAAUUUCUUCAGUGACUUCAUAAAUUGUAAAUCUACAAUUUUAGCAUAGAGAAUUCCAUUUUAUAACUGAGGGAAGCAUAUGGUGUCAUAAAAACACAGGUUGGUUAAUGGGAACAGAUACGAAAAUAUACAACUUUAACUUGGGAUACUGUAAGAAAGUGGGUGUUUUAAAAUGUGGGAUUUAUUAUUAUGCAGUUGUGUUGAGGCCAACAGAUCAGAAAAUCAGAUUGCUGUUGAAAGAAAGUUUAUCAAUCAUAGUUCCCAAGAGAAGGGAACACUCUUUGUAAUGCAAGGGCCACAGCCACCAAGAUCUGUCAGGAGACUGCCAUCAAGGGGGGCAUCUGGACAAAACCCUUUAUUGUGGAUUCUGCAAGAACAGACAAGGCAUCCCAUGAAAAGUUGAUUGGC